AUUGAACGCUGGCGGCAGGCCUAACACAUGCAAGUCGAGCGGAGCGGCGGACGGGUGAGUAAUGCCUGGGAAUCUGCAUGGUAGUGGGGGAUAACGUCCGGAAACGGGCGCUAAUACCGCAUACUAUCAGAUGAGCCUAGGUCGGAUUAGCUAGUUGGUGGGGUAAAGGCCUACCAAGGCGACGAACCGUAACUGGUAUGAGAGGAUGAUCAGUCACACGGGAACUGAGACACGGUCCAUACUCCAACGGUAGUCAUCAGUGUGGAAGAUUGGACAAUGGGCGAAAGCCUGUUCCAGCCAUGCCGCGUGUGUGAAGAAGUUCUUCGGAUUGUAAAGCACUUUAAGUUGGAAGGCGUUACCAACAGAAUAAGCACCGGCUAACUACGUGCCAGCAGCCGCGGUAAUAC
rnacentral:rRNA from 1 species